GCUGGGCCUGGUGGCACAUGCCUGUAAUCCCAGCAACUCUGGAGGCUGAGGCAGGAGGACUGUGGAUUCAAAGCCAUCUUCAGCAACAGCGAGGUGCUAAGCAACUCAGUGAGACCCUGUCUCUA
rnacentral:sRNA from 1 species